rnacentral:rRNA from 1 species
AGUGAACGCUGGCGGUAGGCCUAACACAUGCAAGUCGAACGGCAGCACAGUAAGAGCUUGCUCUUACGGGUGGCGAGUGGCGGACGGGUGAGGAAUACAUCGGAAUCUACUUUUUCGUGGGGGAUAACGUAGGGAAACUUACGCUAAUACCGCAUACGACCUACGGGUUAAAGCAGUGGAUCUUCGGACCUUGCGCGAUUGAAUGAGCCGAUGUCGGAUUAGCUAGUUGGCGGGGUAAAGGCCCACCAAGGCGACGAUCCGUAGCUGGUCUGAGAGGAUGAUCAGCCACACUGGAACUGAGACACGGUCCAGACUCCUACGGGAGGCAGCAGUGGGGAAUAUUGGACAAUGGGCGCAAGCCUGAUCCAGCCAUACCGCGUGGGUGAAGAAGGCCUUCGGGUUGUAAAGCCCUUUUGUUGGGAAAGAAAAGCAGCAGGUUAAUACCCCGCUGUUCUGACGGUACCCAAAGAAUAAGCACCGGCCAACUUCGUG